rnacentral:rRNA from 1 species
CCUACGGGCGGCAGCAGUGGGGAAUAUUGGACAAUGGGCGAAAGCCUGAUCCAGCCAUGCCGCGUGUGUGAAGAAGGCCUUCGGGUUGUAAAGCACUUUCAGUGGGGAAGAAAGCCUUGGGGCUAAUACCCUCGAGGAAGGACAUCACCCACAGAAGAAGCACCGGCUAACUCCGUGCCAGCAGCCGCGGUAAUACGGAGGGUGCGAGCGUUAAUCGGAAUUACUGGGCGUAAAGCGCGCGUAGGCGGUCUGAUAAGCCGGUUGUGAAAGCCCCGGGCUCAACCUGGGAACGGCAUCCGGAACUGUCAGGCUAGAGUGCAGGAGAGGAAGGUAGAAUUCCCGGUGUAGCGGUGAAAUGCGUAGAGAUCGGGAGGAAUACCAGUGGCGAAGGCGGCCUUCUGGACUGACACUGACGCUGAGGUGCGAAAGCGUGGGUAGCAAACGGGAUUAGAUACCCCUGAGUC